rnacentral:rRNA from 1 species
AGUUAUCUGAACCUUCGGGGAACGAUAACGGCGUCGAGCGGCGGACGGGUGAGUAAUGCCUAGGAAAUUGCCUUGAUGUGGGGGAUAACCAUUGGAAACGAUGGCUAAUACCGCAUAAUGCCUACGGGCCAAAGAGGGGGACCUUCGGGCCUCUCGCGUCAAGAUAUGCCUAGGUGGGAUUAGCUAGUUGGUGAGGUAAUGGCUCACCAAGGCGACGAUCCCUAGCUGGUCUGAGAGGAUGAUCAGCCACACUGGAACUGAGACACGGUCCAGACUCCUACGGGAGGCAGCAGUGGGGAAUAUUGCACAAUGGGCGCAAGCCUGAUGCAGCCAUGCCGCGUGUAUGAAGAAGGCCUUCGGGUUGUAAAGUACUUUCAGCAGUGAGGAAGGGGGUGUCGUUAAUAGCGGCAUUUCUUGACGUUAGCUGCAGAAGAAGCACCGGCUAACUCCGUGCCAGCAGCCGCGGUAAUACGGAGGGUGCGAGCGUUAAUCGGAAUUACUGGGCGUAAAGCGCAUGCAGGUGGUUUGUUAAGUCAGAUGUGAAAGCCCGGGGCUCAACCUCGGAACUGCAUUUGAAACUGGCAAACUAGAGUACUGUAGAGGGGGGUAGAAUUUCAGGUGUAGCGGUGAAAUGCGUAGAGAUCUGAAGGAAUACCAGUGGCGAAGGCGGCCCCCUGGACAGAUACUGACACUCAGAUGCGAAAGCG